UUUUGAAUAGCCAAAAAGACCCGUGUGUUAAAAAAAUUAGCAAAGACCUCCCUGUAUUUUGUUUUGCAAAGUACACUGCCCCUUACACUUAAAUUGGGUGUUGACUUACAUGAAAUGACGAAACCACCCCUAGUUAGAACAAACCUAAUAUCCAACACUAGAACACAAAAAAUCGGGAAAAAAAAGGAAAGUUUGAAAAAAUUUCACUUUGGGGGCGGCAAUGGAGUUGAAGAUAACCCUUGUUAGUUUUGACACAAAUUUUCUAGUUGUUAAAUUUCAUUUGGUCUCUUUGUAUUGUGGGAAAAAUAGGAAAAGAGAAAAAAAAACUGGUGGAUCUGACGGAGGGAAGAGCACGAGGGAAGGGGCCAUUGUUUAGAGUUAGGAGGCUGAAGAAGUUUAUUGUGUCUGUUCAAGCUCCCCUCCACGUGCUCUAAUGGUGGGUCUUACACAAAUAUACGGUAUGUAAUGGAAUUGCAAAUGCAUUUCAUUUUUUGCUUGAAUUGAUUUCAGCUUCCCUUUUGUUUGUUGAUUCAUAAUGGAUUAUUUGAUGGUGGGGGAAUCUAUUGAUGGUUGUAGGUGUGUGGUGGAGAAGAAAAUUCUGGUUUUGGGGUGUGAUUUUGGGGGAAUCUAUUGAUGUUAGGUAUUUUUACAGCAAAUAGUUGUUUUGUUAUUCGGCUAUUUUUUAUAACUGUUUUCGUUAUCCUGCUAUUUCUUUUAGUUGUUUUUGAUAGUUUUAGUUGUUUUCGGCUAUUUUGGUUGAUUUUCAAGUUUUUGGUAGUUGAUUUUGAUUUUUUAUUUUUUUAUCCAAUUAUAUGACCUGCUGGAAAAAUAUAAAUCAAAAAAUAUA
rnacentral:lncRNA from 1 species